rnacentral:rRNA from 1 species
UACGUAGGGGGCAAGCGUUGUCCGGAAUCAUUGGGCGUAAAGCGCGUGUAGGCGGCCUUGUAAGUCCGUUCUGAAAGUCCGGGGCUCAACCCCGGGAGGCGGAUGGAUACUGCAAGGCUCGAGUCCGGAAGAGGCGAGUGGAAUUCCCGGUGUAGCGGUGAAAUGCGCAGAUAUCGGGAGGAACACCAAUGGCGAAGGCAGCUCGCUGGGACGGUACGUGACGCUGAGACGCGAAAGCGUGGGGAGCAACAGGAUUAAGAAACCCUGG